UGCUAGAUCAGGUCCAACCAAGAGAGUGA
rnacentral:piRNA from 1 species